UUAUCGGAGAGUUUGAUCCUGGCUCAGGACGAACGCUGGCGGCGUGCCUAAUACAUGCAAGUCGAGCGGACAGAUGGGAGCUUGCUCCCUGAUGUUAGCGGCGGACGGGUGAGUAACACGUGGGUAACCUGCCUGUAAGACUGGGAUAACUCCGGGAAACCGGGGCUAAUACCGGAUGGUUGUUUGAACCGCAUGGUUCAAACAUAAAAGGUGGCUUCGGCUACCACUUACAGAUGGACCCGCGGCGCAUUAGCUAGUUGGUGAGGUAACGGCUCACCAAGGCAACGAUGCGUAGCCGACCUGAGAGGGUGAUCGACCACACUGGGACUGAGACACGACCAGACUCCUACGGGAGGCAGCAGUAGGGAAUCUUCCGCAAUGGACGAAAGUCUGACGGAGCAACGCCGCGUGAGUGAUGAAGGUUUUCGGAUCGUAAAGCUCUGUUGUUAGGGAAGAACAAGUACCGUUCGAAUAGGGCGGUACCUUGACGGUACCUAACCAGAAAGCCACGGCUAACUACGUGCCAGCAGCCGCGGUAAUACGUAGGUGGCAAGCGUUGUCCGGAAUUAUUGGGCGUAAAGGGCUCGCAGGCGGUUUCUUAAGUCUGAUGUGAAAGCCCCCGGCUCAACCGGGGAGGGUCAUUGGAAACUGGGGAACUUGAGUGCAGAAGAGGAGAGUGGAAUUCCACGUGUAGCGGUGAAAUGCGUAGAGAUGUGGAGGAACACCAGUGGCGAAGGCGACUCUCUGGUCUGUAACUGACGCUGAGGAGCGAAAGCGUGGGGAGCGAACAGGAUUAGAUACCCUGGUAGUCCACGCCGUAAACGAUGAGUGCUAAGUGUUAGGGGGUUUCCGCCCCUUAGUGCUGCAGCUAACGCAUUAAGCACUCCGCCUGGGGAGUACGGUCGCAAGACUGAAACUCAAAGGAAUUGACGGGGGCCCGCACAAGCGGUGGAGCAUGUGGUUUAAUUCGAAGCAACGCGAAGAACCUUACCAGGUCUUGACAUCCUCUGACAAUCCUAGAGAUAGGACGUCCCCUUCGGGGGCAGAGUGACAGGUGGUGCAUGGUUGUCGUCAGCUCGUGUCGUGAGAUGUUGGGUUAAGUCCCGCAACGAGCGCAACCCUUGAUCUUAGUUGCCAGCAUUCAGUUGGGCACUCUAAGGUGACUGCCGGUGACAAACCGGAGGAAGGUGGGGAUGACGUCAAAUCAUCAUGCCCCUUAUGACCUGGGCUACACACGUGCUACAAUGGACAGAACAAAGGGCAGCGAAACCGCGAGGUUAAGCCAAUCCCACAAAUCUGUUCUCAGUUCGGAUCGCAGUCUGCAACUCGACUGCGUGAAGCUGGAAUCGCUAGUAAUCGCGGAUCAGCAUGCCGCGGUGAAUACGUUCCCGGCCUUGUACACACCGCCCGUCACACCACGAGAGUUUGUAACACCCGAAGUCGGUGAGGUAACCUUUUAGGAGCCAGCCGCCGAAGGUGGGACAGAUGAUUGGGGUGAAGUCGUAACAAGGUAGCCGUAUCGGAAGGUGCGGCUGGAUCACCUCCUUU
rnacentral:rRNA from 1 species